GCUGGCGGCGUGCCUAAUGCAUGCAAGUCGCACGCACGGAGCUUGCUCCGUGAGUGGCGCACGGCUGAGGAUCACGUGGGAACAUGCCUCCGGGUGGGGGACAACAGCGCGAAAGCGCUGCUAAUCCCGCAUACGCUCGUCGCACGACGAGGAAAGCGGCAACGCGCCGGGAGAGUGGCCCGCGGCCCAUCAGGUCGUAGGUGGGGUAACGGCCUACCUAGCCGAUGACGGGUAGCUGGUCUGUGAGGACAGACAGCCAGACUGGGACUGAGACACGGCCCAGACUCCUACGGGAGGCAGCAGCAAGGAAUUUUCGUCAAUGGGCGCAAGCCUGAACGAGCAACGCCGCGUGGAGGAUGACGGCCUUCGGGUUGUAAACUCCUUUUUCGGGGGACGAUGAUGACGGUACCCCGGGAAUAAGGCUCGGCUAACUCUGUGCCAGCAGCCGCGGUAAUACAGAGGAGCCAAGCGUUGUCCGGAUUGACUGGGCGUAAAGCGCACGCAGGCGGCAUCGCGCGUGGGGUGUGAAAUCUGGCCGCUUAACGGCCA
rnacentral:rRNA from 1 species